rnacentral:rRNA from 1 species
GCCUACGGUCAUGCUACGUUGAAAGCUCCGCAUCCCAUCAGAUCUGCGAAGUCAAGGAUCGUUGGGCUGAGCUAGUACUACGGUUGGAGACGUGGUAACACUCAGUGUCGUAGGCC